AAAGCACCUCAGUGAGGUGUGAAGAUGCAGACCAUCAGGCUCUGAGAGAGAAUAAACUUGCUAGGAACAAAAUGGGUAGCUGGUUUCACUGGCAAUAUGCCAGUUCUGGAAACUGCUGUUGGAACUGCUCUUUAGCAGCAACCUUCAUGACAAAAUUCAUCUUUGGGAAAAUUGGACAGUAGCAAAACUGUCAGCACUCUAUGGUGAAGUGAGCUUGGGAGGACCGAAACAAGCGCAGAGUAGAAGCAGACCGGUGCCCACGCGGGACCGCAGCACAGGAGGCACGGAAGGAGGGAUCGGGAUUGAAGGAGCCGAACGUGGAGUCCGCAGCGCUCCUGCAGCGCCACCUGCCGGCAACUCCGCCGGGACCGCGCAGAGGGCGCCAGCUGCAGAGAGAGCGGAGCGCCCGACAGCGGGGACUGGAACCUCAAAGAGCAUCCUCGGAGCUGCGCUGAUAAAGGAAUGAAGGAGCAGAGCACCUUUGGUGGUAGCGUCAGUCACUGUCACAGAGCCGUACACUAAGCCUGACAGCUCCUCAGGGUCUGAUUUUAAAAGAGCGUAUUAAUUAUCCUUAUCUGUCUGUGAUACGCUGGUUGCAAAUUGUUCAGAUAAAUGGCGCCGCUUAGAACCUUCCACGCGAGCA